GCCUAUGGCCAUUCUGUCCUGAGUGCACCCAGUCUUCUCUGGCCUUGGAAGCUAAGCAGGAUCCAGCUGGGUGACUACUUGGAUAAGAGAAUAAUACCUAUUACUAUCCUCA
rnacentral:rRNA from 1 species